GGAGGGAUACCCAAGUCUGGUUUAAGGGAAAUUAAUACUAUGUAUUAAUUAGAAGCUUAUGCUUGCGUUGGUUCAAAUCCUUCUCCCUCCG
rnacentral:tRNA from 2 species